GGCAAAAAUUGCAUUGAAAAACUGGUUCCCGUAUGAUCACUGAAGUUAAGCAAUGUCAAGCCUUGUCAGUACCUAGAUGGGUGACUAGUUGGGAAUAUCAUGUGCUGUAAG